rnacentral:rRNA from 1 species
ACGAACGCUGGCGGCGUGCUUAACACAUGCAAGUCGAGCGGAAAGGCCACUUCGGUGGUCCUCGAGCGGCGAACGGGUGAGUAACACGUGAGUAAUCUGCCCCUCACUUUGGGAUAGCCACCGGAAACGGUGAUUAAUACCGGAUAUGACCAUAUGUCGCAUGGCGUGUGGUGGAAAGUUUUUCGGUGAGGGAUGUGCUCGCGGCCUAUCAGCUUGAUGGUGAGGUAAUGGCUCACCAUGGCUUCGACGGGUAGCCGGCCUGAGAGGGUGACCGGUCACACUGGGACUGAGACACGGCCCAGACUCCUACGGGAGGCAGCAGUGGGGAAUAUUGGACAAUGGGCGGAAGCCUGAUCCAGCAACGCCGCGUGAGGGAUGACGGCCUUCGGGUUGUAAACCUCUUUCAGUACCGACGAAGCGCAAGUGACGGUAGGUACAGAAGAAGCACCGGCCAACUACGU